rnacentral:rRNA from 1 species
UACAGAGGUCCCAAGCGUUGUUCGGAUUCAUUGGGCGUAAAGGGUGCGUAGGCUGCGGGGCAAGUCGGGUGUGAAAUCUCAGAGCUCAACUCUGAAACUGCACUCGAUACUGCUUUGCUCGAGGACUGGAGAGGAGAUUGGAAUUCACGGUGUAGCAGUGAAAUGCGUAGAUAUCGUGAGGAAGACCAGUGGCGAAGGCGGAUCUCUGGACAGUUCCUGACGCUGAGGCGCGAAGGCCAGGGGAGCAAACGGGG